rnacentral:rRNA from 1 species
UACGUAGGGUGCAAGCGUUAAUCGGAAUUACUGGGCGUAAAGCGUGCGCAGGCGGUUUUGUAAGUCUGUCGUGAAAUCCCCCGGGCUCAACCUGGGAAUUGCGAUGGAGACUGCAAGGCUAGAAUCUGGCAGAGGGGGGUAGAAUUCCACGUGUAGCAGUGAAAUGCGUAGAUAUCGGGAGGAACACCAGCGGCGAAGGCGACUUUCUGGCUGCUAACUGACGCUGAGACGCGAAAGCUAGGGGAGCGAACGGG